rnacentral:rRNA from 1 species
UACAGAGGGGGCAAGCGUUGUUCGGAAUUACUGGGCGUAAAGGGCGCGUAGGCGGCCUGUUAAGUCGAACGUGAAAUCCCCGGGCUCAACCCGGGGAACUGCGUCCGAUACUGGCAGGCUUGAAUUCGGGAGAGGGAUGCGGAAUUCCAGGUGUAGCGGUGAAAUGCGUAGAUAUCUGGAGGAACACCGGUGGCGAAGGCGGCAUCCUGGACCGAGAUUGCGCUGAGGCGCGAAAGCCAGGGGAGCAAACGGG